CGUCGAGCGGCGGACGGGUGAGUAAUGCUUAGGAAUCUGCCCAGUAGUGGGGGAUAGCCCGGGGAAACUCGGAUUAAUACCGCAUACGCCCUUUUGGGGAAAGCAGGGGAUCUUCGGACCUUGCGCUAUUGGAUGAGCCUAAGUCGGAUUAGCUUGUUGGUGAGGUAAAGGCUCACCAAGGCAACGAUCCGUAGCUGGUCUGAGAGGAUGAUCAGCCACAUCGGGACUGAGACACGGCCCGAACUCCUACGGGAGGCAGCAGUGGGGAAUAUUGGACAAUGGGGGCAACCCUGAUCCAGCCAUGCCGCGUGUGUGAAGAAGGCUUUCGGGUUGUAAAGCACUUUCAGUGAGGAGGAAGGCUUUCAGACUAAUACUCUGGAGGAUUGACGUCACUCACAGAAGAAGCACCGGCUAACUCCGUGCCAGCAGCCGCGGUAAUACGGAGGGUGCAAGCGUUAAUCGGAAUUACUGGGCGUAAAGCGCGCGUAGGUGGUUGAGUAAGCGAGAUGUGAAAGCCCCGGGCUUAACCUGGGAACGGCACUUCGAACUGCUCGGCUAGAGUGUGGUAGAGGGUAGUGGAAUUUCCUGUGUAGCGGUGAA
rnacentral:rRNA from 1 species